rnacentral:tRNA from 1 species
GCCCUUAUAGUUCAUCGGUAGAACGCAGCCAUGGUAAGGCUGAAAGGUAAGUCCGACUCUUACUAGGGGCA